GUGUUGUUCUCCAUCCACAGGAAGUGCAUACAGGACCAUACCUGUGUUUCUAACCACCACGGGCAGCUGGGGCUCCACCCUCAGGAGGCGGUGCAGUUCAGCCUUCGCCAGCGGGAGGCGGUUCCUGUCAGAGGAGUCCACGACAUACACCAGAACGUGGGUCCUUCUCAGGUAGUCGGACCAGUAUCGCCGCAGGUCCUCCCCACCACCAACUACAGCAGAGAAAACACAAACAUUCAGAACCAGGGAGGAGAGAAGCCCAGCUCAGCGGCAGAAGCUCUGCACCGCUGGAUCUGACAGGGGUUUAACGUCUUGCUUAAAGACACUCCAGCGAAGCAGACGCUCGGCAACAAAAGGGCUUUGUCACAUGGCAGUGCUAAAGCCAGCUCGCCUGCAG